rnacentral:rRNA from 2 species
UGAGUUUGAUCAUGGCUCAGAUUGAACGCUGGCGGCAGGCCUAACACAUGCAAGUCGAGCGGCAGCGACUUAACUGAACCUUCGGGGAACGUUAAGGGCGGCGAGCGGCGGACGGGUGAGUAAUGCCUGGGAAUAUGCCCUGAUGUGGGGGAUAACUAUUGGAAACGAUAGCUAAUACCGCAUAAUCUCUUCGGAGCAAAGAGGGGGACCUUCGGGCCUCUCGCGUCAGGAUUAGCCCAGGUGGGAUUAGCUUGUUGGUGAGGUAAUGGCUCACCAAGGCAACGAUCCCUAGCUGGUCUGAGAGGAUGAUCAGCCACACUGGAACUGAGACACGGUCCAGACUCCUACGGGAGGCAGCAGUGGGGAAUAUUGCACAAUGGGGGAAACCCUGAUGCAGCCAUGCCGCGUGUGUGAAGAAGGCCUUCGGGUUGUAAAGCACUUUCAGUAGGGAGGAAGGUAGUGUAGUUAACACCUGCAUUAUUUGACGUUACCUACAGAAGAAGCACCGGCUAACUCCGUGCCAGCAGCCGCGGUAAUACGGAGGGUGCGAGCGUUAAUCGGAAUUACUGGGCGUAAAGCGCAUGCAGGCGGCCUGUUAAGUCAGAUGUGAAAGCCCGGGGCUUAACCUCGGAAUUGCAUUU